rnacentral:rRNA from 1 species
GACGAACGCUGGCGGCGUGCCUAAUACAUGCAAGUCGAACGCAGUGGGGACGGGUGAUUAACACGUGGGUAACCUCCCCUCAGAGGGGAUAAAACUUGGAAACAGGUGCUAAACCGAUACUGCUGGAUGGACCCGCGGUGCUUUAGGUAGUGGGUGAGGUAACGGCUCACCAAGGCCACGAUGCGUAGCCGAGCGUAGAGGGUGAUCGGCCACCCUGGGACUUAGACACGGCCCAGACUCCUAGGGGAGUCAGCAGUGGGGAAGCUUGGGCAAUGGUCGAAAGGCUGACAGAGCAACGCCGCGUGAGUGAAGAGGGGUUUCGGAUUGUAAAGCUCUAGUGUUAGAGAGGCGGUAGCUAACCAGAAAGCCACGGCUAACUACGUGCCAGCAGCCGCGGUAAUUC